CUUAGUCGUGUGUACAUCAUUGGGAAUGGAGGGAAAUAAAUGACUGGAUGGUCGCUGCUUUUUAAGUUUCAAAUUGACAUUCCAGACAAGCGGUGCCUGAGCCCGUGCCUGUCUUCAGAUCUUCACAGCACAGUUCCUGGGAAGGUGGAGCCACCAGCCUCUCCUUGGCUCUGCCGACUUCCAGUUCUGGAACAAGAUGGUUAAACUCAUUUUUCCCUGCUCUGCUCCUCUAAAUACAACUAAGUACCUUGGAAACUAUUCAGCAGACAAUGAUAAAGGGCUCUGAAAGCUAGAAGAAAAGGUGUACUUGCAAGAAACCUCAGGACUUGAGUAACAGCAACAUGUUUGACUUUGAAGGAUCACUUUCCCCUGUCAUUGCGCCCAAAAAAGCCUUCCGAGACUGGAUCUGAUGAUGACUGGGAAUAUUUACUAAAUUCAGACUACCACCAGAGUGUUGAGUCUCAUCUUUUGAACAGAUCUUUAUGUCUGAGUCCUUCAGAAGCUUCACAGAUGAAGGAUGAGGAUUUUUCACAGAAUCUCAGUCUGGAUUCUUCUACACUUCUCUUUACUCACAUACCUGCAAUUUUUUUCGUUCUUCGCCUUGUGUAUGAGGAGCUUAAGUUGAAUACUCUAAUGGGAGAAGGAAUUUGUUCACUCUUGAACUUCUCGUUCAGUUGGCAAGGUCAAACAGGAUUUAUGCAUCAUCCAUCAUUUUUUACGUCUGAGCCACCAAGUAUUUAUCAGUGGGUGAGUUCUUGUCUGAAGGGCGAAGGAAUGCCGCCUUAUCCUUACCUCCCUGGAAUCUGUGAAAGAAGCAGACUUGUAGUCUUGAGUAUUGCACUGUACAUACUUGGUGAUGAGAGCUCAGUUUCUGAUGAAUCCUCACAGUAUUUAACCAGAAUAACUGUAGCCCCCCAGAAGUUGCAAGCAGAACAAGAGGAAAACAGGUUUAGUUUCAGGCAUUCUACGUCUGUUUCUAGUCUAGCUGAAAGAUUGGUUGGCUGGAUGACUAAUGUAGGAUUCACUUUAAGAGAUUUGGAAACUCUUCCCUUUGGAAUUGCUCUUCCCAUCAGAGAUGCAAUUUAUCACUGUCGUGAGCAGCCUGCCUCAGACUGGCCAGAAGCUGUCUGUCUCUUGACUGGACGUCAGGAUCUUUCCAAGCAGGCCUGCGAAGGAAACUUACCCAAAGGGAAGUCUGUACAGAAACUGAGGAGGAAGAUGACGGCAUGAAUGACAUGAAUCACGAGGUCAUGUCAUUAAUAUGGAGUGAAGAUUUAAGGGUGCAGGAUGUGCGAAGGCUUCUUCAGAGUGCGCAUCCUGUCCGUGUCAACGUAGUGCAGUACCCAGAGCUCAGUGACCACGAGUUCAUCGAGGAAAAGGAAAACAGAUUGCUCCAAUUGUGUCAGCGAACUAUGGCUCUUCCUGUAGGACGAGGAAUGUUUACCUUGUUUUCGUACCAUCCUGUUCCAACAGAGCCAUUGCCUAUUCCUAAAUUGAAUCUGACUGGGCGUGCCCCUCCUCGGAACACAACAGUAGACCUUAAUAGUGGAAACAUCGAUGUGCCUCCCAACAUGACAAGCUGGGCCAGCUUUCAUAAUGGUGUGGCUGCUGGCCUGAAGAUAGCUCCUGCCUCCCAGAUCGACUCAGCUUGGAUUGUUUACAAUAAGCCCAAGCAUGCUGAGUUGGCCAAUGAGUAUGCUGGCUUUCUCAUGGCUCUGGGUUUGAAUGGGCACCUUACCAAGCUGGCGACUCUCAAUAUCCAUGACUACUUGACCAAGGGCCAUGAAAUGACAAGCAUUGGACUGCUACUUGGUGUUUCUGCUGCAAAACUAGGCACCAUGGAUAUGUCUAUUACUCGGCUUCUUAGCAUUCGCAUUCCUGCUCUCUUACCCCCAACGUCCACAGAGCUGGAUGUUCCUCACAAUGUCCAAGUGGCUGCAGUGGUUGGCAUUGGCCUUGUAUAUCAAGGGACAGCUCACAGACAUACUGCAGAAGUCCUGUUGGCUGAGAUAGGACGGCCUCCUGGUCCUGAAAUGGAAUACUGCACUGACAGAAAGUCAUACUCCUUAGCUGCUGGCUUGGCCCUGGGCAUGGUCUGCUUGGGGCAUGGCAGCAAUUUGAUAGGUAUGUCUGAUCUCAAUGUGCCUGAGCAGCUCUAUCAGUACAUGGUUGGAGGACAUAGGCGCUUUCAAACAGGAAUGCAUAGGGAGAAACAUAAAUCACCAAGUUAUCAAAUCAAAG